GUAAUAAUUUGGCGGAGGCUUCUCAGUCGAGCAGUAACUGAAUUGCUCAUUUACUGAACGUGCAACAUGUACAGAACUCUUCUGGGAACUAGUCAACCCAACUUAGUGAAACACACACUGAAUGCAUGCUGGCCCCGCCCACCCACCUACGUCUACCAACCACCACUCCAUAUCCUGACUGACAUGACCUGUGAUCCAGUGAUUGACAGGAGAGGAAAGACAGGCCAACUUUGUUAGCUGUUCGUUAGGAUAUGCUCGAGAGGACAAAAGAUUUUGCACCUCGUUAUUGUUGGACCUCUGUGUGGAAACAGCGAACGGGACGUCAUAAGUGUGGUGCAUUGCUGUCCUCCUGCCCUUGCUGGCCGCGCUGACAGUGUGAUGUAGCCUCAGUUCUUUGAGAGACAAGACAAAACAGCAGGGAAUAAUUUCAUGUCUGCAAGCCGCUGGAUGAUCAGUUUGGAGGGCAAGGUAUUUUAUGAGCCUGAGCAGAUGCAUGACUUUGGCAGCACCCUUGCUGUCUUCUUUGCGUCAUACUACGUUUUCAACCUUGAGUAUCAGGAGUCAGCGUCCAUCACACUGGAGAUGAUACAGAGGUUCUUUGUGAGGAUCCAGACAUGGGAACAAAAUGCCCUGCAAAACUUGGUACAAGCCGCAAGACGGGUCGUGUCGUAAAGAGGAAGGUUACAAGCAUCAGCCCUCGGAUCACCACCUUCCUCCAGCGGCUCUCUGGAGGACUUCUAACUAGGUGGUGAUGAAGACUACGCUGAACCUGACCAUCCUGGUAACGGAAAUCUAAAUCCCAUGUCACAUUCUAUUUCCUGAGACCCACUGAUAAUUAUUACAUUUUGUAAAUGAUUUUUGUUUUACAAUUGUAAUAGUUUAUUUAAUGUUCAUGCUGGUGGGUUUGUCCUGUUUUUAGUGGAAUGAAAACUGUUUUCCUUAAAAAAUCAGACACAGAAAGGUGAAGGACUGUGUAGUUUUCAUGUACGCUUCUAUUUAUUUUGAUUAUUGACAUUGUUUUUAUUCAGUUGAAAAUGUUUUUCUUGUUAAAAAAAUUAUCAACAAUAAAUGUUGGUUUAAU
ensembl:lncRNA